rnacentral:rRNA from 1 species
CGGGUGCGGCGCCGGUCUAAGUUCCUUGGAACAGGACGUCAUAGAGGGUGAGAAUCCCGUUCAUGACCGGCGACCUAGCCCGUGUGAAGCUCCUUCGACGAGUCGAGUUGUUUGGGAAUGCAGCUCUAAAUGGGUGGUAAAUUUCAUCUAAAGCUAAAUACCGGCCAGAGACCGAUAGCGCACAAGUAGAGUGAUCGAAAGAUGAAAAGCACUUUGGAAAGAGAGUUAAAAAGUACGUGAAAUUGUUGAAAGGGAAGCGCUUGCGACCAGACUUGCUCGCGGGUGAUCAGCCGCCCUUCUGGNCGGUGCACUCGCCCGCGAUCAGGCCAGCAUCGGUUUGGGCGGUCGGAUAAAGGCCCCGGGAAUGUAGCUCCCUCCGGGGAGUGUUAUAGCCUGGGGUGCAAUGUGGCCAGCCUGGACCGAGGACCGCGCUUCGCUAGGAUGCUGGCGUAAUGGUUGUAAGCGACCCGUCUUGAAACACGGACCAAGGAGUCUAACAUCUAUGCGAGUGUUUGGGUGUCAAACCCAUGCGCGCAAUGAAAGUGAACGGAGGUGGGAACCCUCAAAGGGUGCACCAUCGACCGAUCCUGAUGUCUUCGGAUGGAUUUGAGUAAGAGCAUAGCUGUUGGGACCCGAAAGAUGGUGAACUAUGCCUGAAUAGGGUGAAGCCAGAGGAAACUCUGGUGG